AUCGGGUAGUGACACAGCUGAUAGGGCUGGUUGAAGAGAGGGAGGAGCUGCAGACGUUGAAAGUGAAAAUGUGAAGUCAGACUGCCAGACUCCCAGACUCCAUUAUAUACUUCGACAGAGCAGGAGGAAGAAAACAGGACUGGAGGACUGCAGCUUGUCAAGGAUGAGCUCUUAUUAUCUGGCCUCAGCUCUGAAGUCCAACCCCUCCCAUCUGAGGGAUCUGGAUCUGAGUAGCAACAAACUUCAGGAUUAUGAAGUGAAGCUGCUGAGUGAUCUUCUGGAGAGUCCAGACUGCAGACUGGAGACUCUCAGACUUAAGGACUGCAGCUUGUCAAGGACGAGCUGUUUUCAUCUAGCCUCAGCUCUGAAGUCCAACCCCUCCCAUCUGAGGGAUCUGGAUCUGAGUAGCAACAAACUGCAGGAUUAUGAUGUGGAGGUUCUGAGUGACUUUCUGAAGAGUCCAGACUGCAGACUGGAGACUCUCAGACUUAAGGACUGCAGCUUGUCAGGGACGAGCUGUUUUCAUCUAGCCUCAGCUCUGAAGUCCCAUCUGAGGGAUCUGGAUCUGAGUAGCAACAAACUGCAGGAUUAUGAUGUGGAGGUUCUGAGUGACUUUCUGAAGAGUCCAGACUGCAGACUGAAGACUCUCAGACUUAAGGACUGCAGCUUGUCAGGGAUGAGCUGUUUUCAUCUAGCCUCAGCUCUGAAGUCCAACCCCUCCCAUCUGAGGGAUCUGGAUCUGAGUAGCAACAAACUGCAGGAUUAUGAUGUGGAGGUUCUGAGUGACUUUCUGAAGAGUCCAGACUGCAGACUGGAGACUCUCAGACUUAAGGACUGCAGCUUGUCAGGGACGAGCUGUUUUCAUCUAGCCUCAGCUCUGAAGUCCAACCCCUCCCAUCUGAGGGAUCUGGAUCUGAGUAGCAACAAACUGCAGGAUUAUGAUGUGGAGGUUCUGAGUGACUUUCUGGAGAGUCCAGACUGCAGACUGAAGACUCUCAGACUUAAGGACUGCAGCUUGUCAGGGAUGAGCUGUUUUCAUCUAGCCUCAGCUCUGAAGUCCAACCCCUCCCAUCUGAGGGAUCUGGAUCUGAGUAGCAACAAACUGCAGGAUUAUGAUGUGGAGGUUCUGAGUGACUUUCUGGAGAGUCCAGACUGCAGACUGGAGACUCUCAGACUUAAGGACUGCAGCUUGUCAGGGACGAGCUGUUUUCAUCUAGCCUCAGCUCUGAAGUCCAACCCCUCCCAUCUGAGGGAUCUGGAUCUGAGUAGCAACAAACUGCAGGAUUAUGAUGUGGAGGUUCUGAGUGACUUUCUGGAGAGUCCAGACUGCAGACUGGAGACUCUCAGACUUAAGGACUGCAGCUUGUCAAGGACGAGCUGUUUUCAUCUAGCCUCAGCUCUGAAGUCCAACCCCUCCCAUCUAGAGGAUCUGGAUCUGAGUAGCAACAAACUGCAGGAUUAUGAUGUGGAGGUUCUGAGUGACUUUCUGAAGAGUCCAGACUGCAGACUGGAGACUCUCAGACUUAAGGACUGCAGCUUGUCAGGGAUGAGCUGUUUUCAUCUAGCCUCAGCUCUGAAGUCCAACCCCUCCCAUCUAAGAGAUCUGGAUAUGAGUGGCAACAAACUGCAGGAUUAUGAAGUGGAGCUGCUGAGUGAUCUUCUGGAGAGUCCAGACUGCAGACUGGAGACUCUCAGACUGGAGGACUGCAGUUUGUCAAGGAUGAGCUGUUAUUCUCUGGCCUCAGCUCUGAAGUCCAACAUCCACCUGAGAGAUCUGGAUCUGAGUCAGAACGAGCUGCAGGAUUCAGGAGUGAAGCUGCUGAGUGAUCUUCUGGAGAGUCCAGACUGCAGACUGAAGACUCUCAGUCUGAGGAGCUGCAGUUUGUCAGAGAUCAGCUGCUCUGCUCUGGUCUCAGCUCUGAAGUCCAACCUCCAUCUGAGACAUCUGGACCUGAGUCUCAACGCUCUGCAGGAUUCAGGAGUGGAGCUGCUGAGAGAUCUUCUGGAGAGUCCAGACUGCAGACUGGAGACCCUCAGACUGGAGCGCUGCAGGUUGUCAGAUAUCAGCUGUUCUGCUCUGGCCUCAGCUCUGAAGUCCAACCCGUCCCAUCUGAGAGAUCUGGACCUGAGUCGGAACAAUCUGAAGGAUUCAGGAGAGCUGCUGAGAGAUCUUCUGGAGAGUCCAGACUGCAGACUGGAGACUCUCAGGAUCAGAGGAGAGACGAUCAGAGCCAAGACCCAGAAGAACUUGACUCAGGUGUGGAACAGGAAGUGAAGCCAGACAGAGAGGCUCCAGUUUCCUUCUCACCGUAACAAACACCUGAAUCUUUAGACAGGUCCACGAGGAGAAACGUCCCAAAGAAACGUUGCUUUUUGCUGUGUAAAUCAGAUCAGAGCAUAUUCCAAGCAGCAAAGAAAACAAGAACUGGUGAAACAGGUUUUGGAUAACACACCUCUCGCUGCUAUGCUGGCUAACGUUGUUGUUGUUGUUGUUGUUGUUGUUUUAAACAGGAAGUCAGCUGUGCUCUGUAUGAGGAUAAAGACACACUGUGAAUUGUAAAUUGUUUGCAAAGUAGAACAUGUGUUUAGAGUUUGAGACUGGAGCUGAGCUUUGUCUCACAGUCCGUUUCAAUCAUUGAGAUGUUUCAUCAAUUAAAACCAAAAUAUGAUAGUCUACUUUUACUGCCUUAGUUUCACAACAAUUGGGAAUGUGACGGCAUCAACAGCAUGUCGGCCAUCUUUGGAGGAUACCAGCUAAUGCAACCAUAAGAUUAAUUAUUAUAGCGAGCUAAACAGUGAUAACCCUUUUAACUAUACCUGUGAUUAAAAGAUGUUUAAAAUGUGAGCAUAAAGGAUGUAUUUGUGAUUUAAAGAAGUCUAUUUUACCGCCUUAGUUUGAGCCGCUGAGCAGCAAUGUCAUUCAGAAUAAAUAUAUACUUUUUCUUGAAAUAUUA